UUCAGGGUCGUUAAGUGUCCUCCUAAUGUCUCUCUCUCAGUGUGAACGGACCCCCGGGAGUCGGCGUGUAAACCUGUGGUCAAUCCUCGCGGCCCAUCAGUGUGUCUCCUGGGUCUUGGUGUGUGUGUGUGUGUGUGUGAAGUGUUCAAGUGCUGCUUUUAGUGUCAGGAAACACUGCGCUGGAUUAAAGGCCUGUCACUGAAGGCAUACAAAAGGCCUCCAGCUGUCUCUGACCCACAAUCCCACUGGAUGAACAUGGAAACAAGGAUCGAGAAAGAGCGAUGUUAAGUGUUUACACACCUGGAAGAUUACCAGCAUUCCCGUCCAUCAAACCCCAUCUCUACUCCUGCUGCGCAAAUCUGGUCCAGUGUCUGGUGGCCACAGACGUGGAUAAAGCAGAAAAUGAUGGUGACAGCAGAAAAUAACCCAGAUUCAGAGGCAGAGAUAAAGACACGAGCGACAUCAUGGACGGGGAGAAAACACAUUCAGAGUCACGUUAGCACCAUAUAACACACACUCAGUCCAGUGUGCACUUUAGUCACUGUAUUCUCAUUUUCUAUACUUUAUUUACUAUAUUCUUAUACAUUCUCCAAAUUAAAAUUAAUAUUA